rnacentral:rRNA from 1 species
CCUACGGGUGGCAGCAGUGAGGAAUAUUGGUCAAUGGACGAGAGUCUGAACCAGCCAAGUAGCGUGAAGGAUGACUGCCGUAUGGGUUGUAAACUUCUUUUAUAUGGGAAUAAAAUGUUCCACGUGUGGGAUUUUGUAUGUACCAUAUGAAUAAGGAUCGGCUAACUCCGUGCCAGCAGCCGCGGUAAUACGGAGGAUCCGAGCGUUAUCCGGAUUUAUUGGGUUUAAAGGGAGCGUAGGUGGAUUGUUAAGUCAGUUGUGAAAGUUUGCGGCUCAACCGUAAAAUUGCAGUUGAAACUGGCAGUCUUGAGUACAGUAGAGGUGGGCGGAAUUCGUGGUGUAGCGGUGAAAUGCUUAGAUAUCACGAAGAACUCCGAUUGCGAAGGCAGUUCACUGGACUGCAACUGACACUGAGGCUCGAAAGUGUGGGUAUCAAACAGGUUUAGAUACCCUAGUAGUC